AAACUCCUGUUUUAACGGUGUUGUCUGAGCUACAAGCAACGAAUCAAAACUUUCAACAACGGAUCUCUUGGUUCUGGCAUCGAUGAAGAACGCAGCGAAAUGCGAUAAGUAGUGUGAAUUGCAGAAUUCAGUGAAUCAUCGAAUCUUUGAACGCACAUUGCGCCCCUUG
rnacentral:rRNA from 1 species